rnacentral:lncRNA from 1 species
GACACUUAUCUAGAUACUCCUUUUUGAAUGAAAGGAAACAAAAGCGAAAGCCAGUAUGUCAUAUAAUACUUGUUUUGAUUCAUAGAACUCGACAUAAAAGGCACCAUGGUUCAAACACACGACGAAAUAGAUAUGAAGAUGAAUCUAGAUGGUUGAAACAUACUCUUGCAUCAGAAAUUUAGCACCGGACAAAUCGAUACUUAUCUAGAUGCCGCGCAGGGCAUAACAGCAUAGCGGCGAAGAGGUUCGUCCUAGCUACUCCCACUGUCCCACAUCCAUGCAGGAACCAGCGGCGCUCCUCCAUCCACAUGCUCAAAGAAAUCCACCAUAUCAUCCUCCUCCAGCUCGAGCUCCUCAGGUGUGCUCUCCGAGCGAAAGCGGGAGCCGUUGAUCAUGAAGACGCCCG